rnacentral:rRNA from 1 species
GACGAACGCUGGCGGCGUGCUUAACACAUGCAAGUCGAACGAUGAAGCCGGAGCUUGCUCUGGUGAAUUAGUGGCGAACGGGUGAGUAACACGUGAGUAACCUGCCCUUGACUCUGGGAUAACUGCGGGAAACUGUAGCUAAUACCGGAUACGACCCUCGGAGGCAUCUCCUGGGGGUGGAAAGAAUUUCGGUCAAGGAUGGACUCGCGGCCUAUCAGCUAGUUGGUGAGGUAAAGGCUCACCAAGGCGACGACGGGUAGCCGGCCUGAGAGGGUGACCGGCCACACUGGGACUGAGAUACGGCCCAGACUGCUACGGGAGGCAGCAGUGGGGAAUAUUGCACAAUGGGCGCAAGCCUGAUGCAGCGACGCCGCGUGAGGGAUGACGGCCUUCGGGUUGUAAACCUCUUUCAGCACCGACGAAGCGCAAGUGACGGUAGGUGCAGAAGAAGGACCGGCCAACUACGUGCCAGCCGCCGCAGUAA